UACGUAGAGUGCGAGCGUUGUCCGGAAUUAUUGGGCGUAAAGAGCUCGUAGGCGGUGUGUCACGUCGGCCGUGAAAACCUGCAGCUUAACUGUGGGCGUGCGGUCGAUACGGGCAUCACUGGAGUUCGGCAGGGGAGACUGGAAUUCCUGGUGUAGCGGUGAAAUGCGCAGAUAUCAGGAGGAACACCGGUGGCGAAGGCGGGUCUCUGGGCCGAUGACUGACGCUGAGGAGCGAAAGCGUGGGGAGCAAACAGG
rnacentral:rRNA from 1 species